rnacentral:rRNA from 1 species
CCUACGGGAGGCAGCAGUGAGGAAUAUUGGUCAAUGGCCGGAAGGCUGAACCAGCCAUGCCGCGUGAAGGUCAGUGCCCUAUGGGCUUUAAACUUCUUUUGUGCGGGAGCAAUAAUGGUCACGUGUGGCCAGACGAGAGUACCGUACGAAUAAGCAUCGGCGAACUCCGUGCCAGCAGCCGCGGUAAUACGGGGGAUGCAAGCGUUAGCCGGAUUUAUUGGGUUUAAAGGGUGCGUAGGGUGUGAGGUAAGUCAGCGGUGAAAUUCCCCCGCUCAACGGGGUGAAGUGCCAUUGAUACUGCCUUGCUGGAAUGCGGAUGCAGUGGGAGGAAUGUGUGGUGUAGCGGUGAAAUGCAUAGAUAUCACACAGAACACCGAUUGCGAAGGCAUCUCACGAAUCCGCGAUUGACGCUGAUGCACGAAAGCGUGGGUAUCAAACAGGAUUAGAUACCCCUGUAGUC